rnacentral:lncRNA from 1 species
GCCAGAGGAUGAGAGGAGGUCCAAGGGCUUUGGGCUGACAAGUUGCAGCGGCGGGCUUUUUGGCCAGCAGAGGGCGCUGUGUUCCUUGGUGUGUGAUCCGUGCGGCUUAGUCCGAGCUCACAGAAGCCUGAGCACACAAGAACACGCACACAGUAACCCUGCACAUCUACACUGACCUUCAUUUAUAACCAAGGGGCUGUGUCUUCUCGACAUAGACUUCUUACUCUGUGUGUCUGUGUGUAUAUGUGUGUGAGAAGAGCCACAUCAACCCACCUCCAUUCUGUCACAGGGCUGGUAAGGAAGGACCAGAUCUAGGAGCCUGGCUCCGUGUUCUCAGAGAGGCAUAUGUGUGCGCCACACCCAAGCACACACGUGCUCAGUCACCCCUUGCCCUGUGCACCACCUGGAAAUGGAACCCGGGAAGAGCCUUGAUUCUCCUAUGGGAAGCUUCCUCCCUCUCUCGACCCAGGGGCUGCUGGUUUUCACCAGGAUUACCCAGGUCUGUUAUCAAGAAGCAGCCAGGAGAGGGAGAAGUGAAAACCCCAGAGGAGACUGGGACCAGCCCUGAGAAGGUCCUAAUUGCUCAAAGGGAGCCAAGAGCACAAGGAGGGGCCCCCGACUGGAUGCAAGAGAAAGGCUGCCUCUUCUUCGGGGCCCAAGGGAAGCAGGUGAGGGCAUGGGCAUCCACAGGUGAGUUUGUGGCUGGGCAGGAAGAAUGAGAAGUCUUGCCUGAGAGUGUCUCUUACUAGGUGGGACAGAAGGGAAGCUGGUCCUCUGGAAGAAAGCUGAAACAGGGGCACUUGGAGAGCUUGGGCAAGGUUGGAAGUAGGCCUUAGAAGAAUGGGGAGAGAGCAGACUGAGGAUGGCCUAAGGAUUGCUGAGCAGAGCCGCGGCCCCCCGCUGAGGCCAGAGACCAUGGACUUGUCAUGGCAGCAGUCUGCACGGAUGGGUGAGUUUCUCCAGCAGCGCUCAGCAGUGCAGAUCAAGGCAGAGGGCUGCCGAGGAGAAUGAAAUGAAGAGUUGCAGGAGGUGGGGCGGAGAGAAC